rnacentral:rRNA from 1 species
AACGAACGCUGGCGGCAUGCCUAACACAUGCAAGUCGAACGGACCCUUCGGGGUCAGUGGCGCACGGGUGCGUAACGCGUGGGAAUCUGCCCUUCGGUUCGGAAUAACUCGGGGAAACCCGAGCUAAUACCGGAUAAUGUCGCAAGACCAAAGAUUUAUCGCCGAAGGAUGAGCCCGCGUCGGAUUAGCUAGUUGGUGGGGUAAAGGCCCACCAAGGCGACGAUCCGUAGCUGGUCUGAGAGGAUGAUCAGCCACACUGGGACUGAGACACGGCCCAGACUCCUACGGGAGGCAGCAGUGGGGAAUAUUGGACAAUGGGCGGAAGCCUGAUCCAGCAAUGCCGCGUGAGUGAUGAAGGCCUUAGGGUUGUAAAGCUCUUUUACCCGGGAUGAUAAUGACAGUACCGGGAGAAUAAGCCCCGGCUAACUCCGUGCCAGCCGCCGCAGUAAAAC